CUCUGAUCAGCGGACGCUCCAGAAACAAAGUAUGGUUUACGGUGGGAAAUCUACAAUUCGCGAUCGAUCGUCUGGGACAGCUUCAAGUGUGGCUUUCACCCCGCUUCAGGGCCUGGAGAUCGUGAACCCCCAGGCGGCAGAGAAGAAGGUGGCAGAGACCAACCAGAAAUAUUUCUCCAACAUGGCAGAGUUCCUGAAGGUGAAGCGAGAAAAGGAGGAGAAAGUGCGGCUGUUCUGAUGGCUCGAGCAGCAGGAAGGCACGCGGUGGGUGAGUGCGUCUGAGGGAGACGGGAGGCUCUCGCACUCACUCCGCCAUGGACUGGCGCACGCACCGUGCCAACCCCACCUUCCAGGGGUUGGCUGUACACAGCGUGGGGCUGCCACAGCCCCAGCUUUUUAUUUAUCGCAAAGCUCAAUAAACUGUUGACACACCA